rnacentral:rRNA from 1 species
CCUGGCGGCACUAGCGCGGUGGUCCCACCUGACCCCAUGCCGAACUCAGAAGUGAAACGCCGUAGCGCCGAUGGUAGUGUGGGGUCUCCCCAUGUGAGUAGGGAACUGCCGGCA